GGCUCAGGAUGAACGCUAGCGGCAGGCUUAAUACAUGCAAGUCGUGGGGCAGCAUGAGUAGCAAUACUUGAUGGCGACCGGCAAACGGGUGAGGAACACGUACACAACCUUCCUUCAAGCGGGGAAUAGCCCAGAGAAAUUUGGAUUAAUACCCCAUAAUAUAUUUGAUAAGGCAUCUUAUUAAUAUUAAAGCUUCGGCACUUGAUGAUGGGUGUGCGGCUGAUUAGAUAGUUGGCGGGGUAACGGCCCACCAAGUCUACGAUCAGUAGCUGAUGUGAGAGCAUGAUCAGCCACACGGGCACUGAGACACGGGCCCGACUCCUACGGGAGGCAGCAGUAAGGAAUAUUGGACAAUGGACGAAAGUCUAAUCCAGCCAUGCCGCGUGAAGGAUUAAGGUCCUCUGGAUUGUAAACUUCUUUUAUAUGGGACGAAAAAAGGGCAUUCUUGUUCACUUGACGGUACCAUAUGAAUAAGCACCGGCUAACUCCGUG
rnacentral:rRNA from 1 species